UGGUGACUGAGCUCUCCCAUCUAAACACACCGUCCUUCCCAGGAGGAGCUGAUGAACAAAAGCUGCAAGUAGAUUAUUGCAGGAAAACAAAAGUUCCUUCCUUUUCUUUCCUUGCUUUUCCUCAAACUUCAAUUUACUCUGAGGGAGGAAUGGGAGUAAGCUGAAGUGGAAACAUCUCUUGAACUUCAAUCAUAUUCUACUCCGAUUUUUAAGUACUUUUUAAAAUUUGAGCUUCUGUCUCUAAAUUAUAAUUCCAGUCAUUAUAAUUUCAUGAUGGGUUUCUAAGAGUAACAGUGGCUGCUUAGGAAGACAAGUCUGACUGGUGGCUGAGGAGGGACUUCUGAGGAAAGAUGUCAGGAGAGAAUGCAUAGCAUGAAAAAUGUGUUCAAGGGCACUGAAUCCCAAGAGGCCCUAUUCCAGCUUCUGUAAUUUCCAGCUUUUACAUGGAUCCUGAGGAUAAACAGAUCGAUAAGCAUCCUUGCUCCUGAAUGGUCCAAUUACUCUCAUCCUUCCCUCCCCAGGAUUGUGGCUCAGUCGGGUUGCCUGUGAUAUUUCCAGGUUGUCUAACUUUUCACUAUUAAAAGAACUCCGUCCUUUGAAAACCCUCA
rnacentral:lncRNA from 1 species